CGAGACGGGGAGAAUGAGAGAACAAGAGGUUUUGUUUAGUGAACGAGUCCCUUUGCAAGAGUUACUCACCCAAGCUCACCCCAUCGUUCAGAUCCCCAUAGUGCCCAGGUCCCCUCCUCUAAUCCUCCACCAUCUUUUCUGCUGAAACAUCUCUGUCAGUCCGUUGUUCUGUCUUUUUUCUCAUUUCUGCCUGAGGCAAAAUGUCAGUCGCUAGAUCUGUGCAGCCAGAAUAGCAUUCGUAUACUUACAGGGGAACACAUUUCCAGUAUAGUUGUCUGAAAUGACCACAUGAACAGCAAGUUUAGUGUCAGUGCUACUUUGGUGGAAUGAAAUGAAAAAAGGCAUACAAAAUGUGUACAGAUGUGUUCUCCUGAAAAAGUUUCUUAAUCUCCCCAAUACAUUCUGGUCUAUACCAGACUUAACAGUCAGAUCCUAUAGUUGAUAGUGACAGCCUAAAAAGCUUAAAGGUUGUGUAGAUGCAACACUAUACAUCACAUCAAAAUACCAAUCUGUAGUUUCUAAUCUGCUCUUUUUGCUGCCCAGAAAUGUUACUCCCCUCAAGUUACCAAACUCGACUCUGCUCAAGUUCAUUCCCAUGCUGUAGUGGAAUUAUUUAUCUCACAUAACCAGUGAUUAAUGGCGUCCAACAGGUGGGAUUGCUGAUGUCGUUGCCAAACAAGUUUUGCCAUUAUCAUCAGCUCUUUUAUUAUGGGAUGCUCCAAUUAGCUACCUUCAAGCUAACAUCUCUAUCACAGCAGCCCUUCAGACACUUUUUACAAAUCCCAUCCCGGCACCAGGCGGCACUGACCUAUUUAAAUUGCCGUUCAAAAGAGAACCUUAUUCUCACAAAACCGUAUCAUGGCGGUGAUUUCAUGUUGUACGCACACAGGUUCCCUGCCUGCCUUUUCACUGAAGAGUUUUCAAACACUUUCUGCCUGUCAGAGAAAUGUCUGCUGUUUUUUGCUUGUUCCUUUGUCGCUGUUGGCAGUUCUGGCAUAUGAAUAAAGUUGUAUCACACAUCCUUGAUACAAUAAAGUGACAUCACAGCCACUUAGAAGUUCAGGUGGUGUGUCUGUUCAAAUGUGUCUCUACACAAUGAAGAGUGACACACAAAUGAAGCCCCUCAAGCAACCUGAAAGAGUUGUAUUCAUUUUUAUAAAUGCCAUUCAUGUUUUGACCAAAUUAAGUUUUUGUUAACAUUUUGAGGGAUCAAUGGCGAUCCAGCAUGCUCUGGUAUCGUCUUAUUUUUUGGCUGAGAACAUUUUCUUCCAUUUUCAAACUUUAUUUUAAUUCUUUCAGUUAAACUUCUUAUAAUUCUGACAUAAUUACAGAGAAAAGUUGAAGCUUGUGUUUCUUCUUCUCUUUCAUAGUGAUUUAAAAACCCUGCAGAUUGAGAUGCAUAUUGAGUAAAAUAUCAGGAAUAACACUAGUCUAAUGUCCAAACCCUUUAACAAAAUGUCCUUCUGAGACAGUUGAAUGGAUUAGAGUCACACGCGUCAACUUAAAAAUGCCUCGUGAUUGAAAAAUGCAGAAACGUUGUGUUAAAAAUAAUAAAAUGCUGCAAGAAAUGUUAAAACCACACUUGCAGCUCAUGCUCGUUGAUGGCUGUGUCCGGCUGGCUGGAAAGAGCAGUCCGUUACAUGAGUUGGAUAGGUGGGAGGGAGACUGUUGUGACGUCAUCCUCCUGCACAUGUUGCUAAAUGGAUGGAAACCGUGGAAAAGAGCAGGUGUUUUCAAGAACAACUCUUGCCAAAGCCAGUCGGGAGGAGACAAAAAACAUCCUCUCUCCAUCAAAAGAAAACGUCCAUACUUAUUUUUAAAAUGAGACAUCUUCUUCAGACCAGUCAAAACUGAUGCACCUAUUUUAAAACUGACAACACAGGUCGUGAUCUCAUAAUCCCUCCAAACAUUAGAAGCUCUGUUUCCUUGACAAACAUUGAGAUAUUUGAAUCUUUAACCAUGUCUGCUUUGAUAGUCAGCAUUCUGCAAUAAUCAGCUUGCCCGACUACCCAGCUUACUGCCUACAGUGACCACAUAGUGGAUUCAUGGACGUAAACAUUAGGGACAGGCUUUAUUUAAAAGAAGAAAGAAAGAUGAACAAUGAACUUUCCCAUAAUAUCCACAACACUCUUGAUCACGGCAUGGCAGCAAUUAUUCUGCUUGUUAACUGCUCAUCCAUUUAAUAACGAUUACAGAUCUAAAAAGCAUUGUGUCACUGUCUCGGCUGUUGUGUUGUGUGAGCGUUGUAUAACCAGGAGCAGUUUGUCGGAUUAUAUUACAGAUAUCCCUGUCAGUGACAGCCACGUCUAAAAUAAACCAUCUGGAGCACUGUUCAGGUUUCUGCAUUAAGACGUGUGUAUGUAUUUGUGGCUUUUGUUUGAGCAUUUUUGUGUGGAAUAAUUCUAAUGGAAAAUUCUGAUGACUAACUUGCCAUCUGGCUUCCCUCGUCAAUGAGCCGUUUCAUCACCGAUGACUGACAUUGGUUGGUCACUUCACAGCUUGGUGAUUGGUCAUUGCCGACAUAUAACCAAUGACGAUUUGGUAUUUUUGAAAUAACGCAAACACACACAUUGGUGGAUUUAAGUAGAUCUCAGGACGGACAGGAAAAUGAUGUACAGGCUGUCACACAGAUCCAUUCACCUUUAGGAUAUAAAUAGGGUCUUAUUUUAUUUUCAUAAUCCAGCAAUUAUAAAUAGCCGGCUCUGCAUGUGGGUCAAUAUCGUAUUGAUUGAGACUAUAGGUUACCAGGAAGAGUAACAAGUUUAGCAUUAGUACAGUGCUGCUUUGACUAGAUGAUAGUACACAUUAAAGGUUACUAGUUAGCUCGGCAAAUUGCCUCCUUAAUGUGGAAGAGGAGUUUGAUCAUGUGAGGAAUGCUGUCCAGGGCAGAACAUGAGGCAAUUUGAGGAACUGCAGUUUUGACACUUUGUUGCAGCAUUUCAUGAUUCCAUUCAGGAAUGUGCAACUUGGGGUAAAAAAAACCCCAGUCUGUCCUGAUUGAACUACUGGUUUAUAACAAGCAUGUAUUUCUGGAAAAACUGCGAUUACAUUCUCUCCACUGGCCCCUUGAUCCAUUCUUUGAUCUGUCCUGUUACAGAAGUUUCUUAUUAAAGAGGUUGGUCUUGGUAUAUUAAACACCUGUUGAGUAGCCUCUGAGGGGCAUAUCAAUUGAUUUUCUUCCCUCACCUCGCACAGAGUCUAAAUCUGACAAUAUGCAUUGAUUCUUUUUCAAUCUCUCUCGCUCUCGGCCCCUCUUCCAUCUGUGCAUGGAGAUCUAAAUUUGUUUAGAUUUGUUUGUCAUCCUCCCACACUUUUCAGCUUUCCCCUCUCCUCUCUGCAUCCCUCUUUCACUCAUCCAAUCUGUCCUGGGCUACGAAUUUGUUUACAUUAUUCUGUCUGUCUUCACUAAGAAGGAAACUUAUCUAAUGUAUUUUCUUUGUUUUACCUUUGUUUUACCUUUCUUACGCUCUUUAAAAUCAAAGGACCCUGUGGUCAUACCUGGUUUAUUUUUAUGGGACACACACACCCCGCCUCACCCUUUCUUUGUCACUCGCAGACACAAACACAAAUGUGGACUCAACAUAGCGUGCAGCACACGCACACAAAUGCAUGCAGACGGAACGACGUCAGACUGCUUGUAGACAAGCGUCUGAAUCUUCCUGACAGGAUUGUCUCGGGGAAGGAAAUAAAAGAGAGGGUGGGAGCAGAGACGGGGAGUUGAGAGAGAAAAAGAGGGGAGAGGACACCAUUGAGAUAAAGAUGGCAGAAAGGGGAGAGGCGGUGAGGGUGAAGAGGAGAGGCAUAUAAGGAAAGGGAGAAAGAGUCACAGUGACACAUGAGGGCAAGUGUGUUGUGGUUGGCAGACAGCAGCUGGAGGGAAGGAUCAACUUAGCUGACACAUCAGUUCAUAUCACCGCCGAGCGGUGAGACAGAUGGGGGAGGGUGGGAUGGAGAGUUUUAAAAAAAAAAGGACAUGUGGUUGAGAAACGGACAGACAUCGACAUUGGAAAAUAAGAAGACAGCCAGGUGGAGAGAGAGGGAGGAUGACGGACUAAAACUGUGGGUUGUGUGAAGGGAAGGAGAGAACGGUGGCAGGACAGAGGAAGGAAAUACAUUUGGUUUGAUUGGUGAGGUGAGAGUUAGUAGGAGGAGAGUAGGAAAAGGAGACAGGAUUAUUUGAGAAGGGUGGAUCGGGAAAAUGUUGUAGAGGAGUGGUGAGUCGGGGUGAGUUUGCAAGAGGGAGAGCAUGAAGAGAAAUGGAAACAGAAAGACAGUAUAUGAUGGUUGUAUAUGUAUGAAACAUCAUGUGGCAUCAGUUGUAAAAAGCGAUUAGAGUAGAGUGACAUUUGAACGCACCAUCUCUUUUCGUCUUCUGCACUUUGCAUUAUAUUUCAGCCUCCUUAUUCAUUUUUCUCUUCCCCUUUUCCCCCAAGGCUGGUACUUGAGUCAAAGAAACUUUAAUAAUUCAGCCCAAAAUGACACAUUUUAUGUUCGCCCCUGCAUUUUCUAUGCAUGGGUGAAACAUCACAUUAUCAGAUAAUGUUUAUUGUAAACAAUAACAAAGUUGUUCAAUUUGCUUUAACGUUUUAUAUAAGGCAUUAUGGAGGCAUUACUUAAAAAAAGGUUUCUUAAGACAAUAAAAUAUCAGAGAAAAUACUGUAAAUGUCAAAGAGGACAAUUUUCUAAGGUAGCGGUCCGCUAAGCAACAUAGAAACAUUUAUUUAAGAAGUUGCGUUGAAUGCAUUUUAAUGUAAUUUGUAGUGAAAUUUUUGGUAUUCGAGAUUCAAAGGUUUUAUUUGUCACAUAACAUACAAUUUGCGCAAAUAAAAACAUUAAAGACUAAUGUGUAAUGAAGGUUAUGAGAGAAAAUAUAAGAAACUACAAAUAAUUAUUUAAAAAACAUACAAAAAUAUGUAAUGUCUGGCUAAUAAAGUCAAUAUUUUACUGUCCCAACAAACUCAAUAACUCUCAAAUAUAUGCAGCACCUAAAAUGUAGAACUGGUAACACAUUUGAUUAAUCUGAUGUUGUGGCUAAUGUGUUGCAGAACCCUGAUGUUAUUGAAGAACCAAACACAAGUUCAGUUCUAUCCACAGUCCCUGGAAUCAUUGACUUACUCCAGCUCACUAUCACAUGGAUAUACUUGUUGAUUUACUAACUGCAGAUAAGAGCUUCACAGAAAAGAGCUGAACGAUACCAAAAUAUUACCAUUUAACUUUGGAUCAGGCUGUAGUUCUAUUCAUGGUGCCUCUUCUCUCUCCUUCAACCUUUCAUUUAUCGAGUCUUUUGAUAAACGGGCCCUUUUUUCCUCAUUCUGGUGAAUUGCUCAACUUUAAAGCAGUCAUCACCUUUCACGCUCCUCCACCUUCCAGCAGGCGAAUCAGGCGUCCACACUGGGCAGCCUGAUCUCCAAAACCUGUUCGUAAAAAUAUAUGCGAAAAUCUUGAACAUACAAAUUCAUAGAGAUACAUACUAAAUAAAUACGGACUGCAACUGAUGAAGUCACCCUAUUCAUAGUGAAUGGGGACCUGCACCCCAUAAACACACUUUGUGAAGUCUAACGAUGUAAAAUAAACGUGUUAUGAUUGCAUUUUUAACGAGAAAUCAAUGUUAACUUGUAAGAAUAGAAUACUAUACUAACCCUAACCCCCUCAAAAAAAUCCACACUGUCGGAGAGACGUUCACUCAAGAAUCCAACAUGGUCCGCCAUGUGGUUCACUCAAGGGGCGUGGUUAACCACCGCCAGUUCGUAUGUAUUGUUACGAAUUUGUAUGUCCAGGAUUUUCGUAUACAUUUUUACGAAGAGGUUUUGGAGAUCACGUUGCACUGGGACAGUUUAGAAGACUCUCCCCUGCAGAGCACCUGGCUGCUUUAACCCAUGACUGCUGAGACUGUGCCAAAACUUCUCUCAAUGUAAUCGUUUUGUGUUCAACUGAAGGGGGCCUUCGGUUAAAUGCUUUUUCAAGGAAUAAGUCGAGCCAGGGGACCUAUUUCUUUCGAUUUAUUAUUCAUUUAAAAAAACACAUAGGAAUUCAUCACAUUUUGCAGAGUUUGCAAGCAAAACAUUCUGUUUUUCUACAGUUGAUCUUUUGUAAUGUUACUCAACUGCGUCAUAAUCAUCAGCUCAAUUGGGAAUCAUGGGAGAAAAAAUGCAAGGAAUGUAAUUAGGCCCUAAAAGCACAUUCUCAGUCACUCAAUUUUAUACAAAAAAUGGCUUGUUAUUGACCAAUAUUUCCCCUUUAGCUCAGCCAAGUUCAUUCAUUUUUGUGUCUUAGAUUAAAUAACAAAAUAUUUGCAUUUUUUUUCUCUGUGUCGUCAGUGUCGCACACAAACCAUACACAGCAAAACACCAAUGGUACUUGAAAGGUUGAUGCAACAUCUGUUUGGUCAACAGACAAAGCCGUUACCUGGUGGUAACGUACAUGUAUGUUCUGUGAGUACUUCAUCUGCUCAACGGGGCUCAGAGUAUUUGUUCACUAAAGCUGGCAUUCCACAUUAUGGCGUCUGAUAGCCUUUCUGUUCUCAUCAUCCCAUCAUCUUCAACUGCCAACCCGGGCUCGGCUCCGACUUCCCUUUCUGUUUCUAUCUGAUUUAAAACUCUUUCUUCUCUUCUCUUGUUUUUUGUAAAACUUGAACAAACACCUUUGUUUGCAGUAUCUUUAUCUAUGCUACAUUCAUAUCACCUAAUUGUUUAAUAUGCUUCUCAAUCUACUUUUUAUUUUUUUUAUUUGUGUAAAACAUUUUCUCUCCAAAAUGAUGCAAUACAUCUAUCAGCAGAUUUUUUUAGCAAGUGCAGUUUAAUUUAACAUCCAAGUCUAAAAUGUUUUUGACAUCAUAAGCAGGCAAGUUAAAAGGGUAAGGCCAUUAGUCAAAGUAAUGAAAUCAUUGCAUCAAGCUGAGUCUGCUUGUCAUGGCUACCAAACACAAUUAAGGAAAACUUUUAAAACCAAAGAAACAGAUCUAAUGGUGCAAUAUUUGGUACAAAGUGGACAAGAAACAAGUGAGAGAUUAUGAUAUGAUUCGAAAGGGAAGGCGUUAUUUCUCCACUUUAGAGUGAGUCCCAGAAAUGAAAAGAAAAAAAGUGUAUGACCAAAGAUCUGCUCCAUGCUCCACAUUACCUCCAUGCAGGCUAAUGAGGACACAGCGUCAUGCACCUAAUGGGAUUUUUUGUUUAACUUGAUAAACUUGUCAAAUAUAAGGACUUAGAUGACAUUGGAAAGGAAGAUGCUGGAAUAUAAAAAGAACUUUCAAUGAAGAGUCCACAUGUGGAGGAACCCAAUGGAGGCAGUUUUAAGAGGGUGAAGCAUGUACUCUUCAAUCUGCAGUAUCAAAUUUACAAUUGGCAUUCUAUUUAAAUUUCGCUGAAGAAAAAUUAAGGAAACCAUUAAAGUUUCAGGGCUGAUAGCUAAACAAUGAGCAGAAACUAACAGGUGCCCAUUACAGUAAUAAUCUACAACUAAUUUGUUCGAAUAAACUGUGUAUUUUCUAAGUUGAGGUCAACAUUGUUAAGCCUUGGGAACUGCAGCAUACAGUUGCGGGUAUGGUAAAUUAACUAGCACACAAAAAUAGGGACACUUCCCUAUUGUUUAUUCCAAAUUAGAGCUUUCCAAGUAGUUGCCAGCGAGGGAGCAGAGGCUCAUAGCUGAAUGACAGGGACACGCUCUUUUGGACACACAAAAAAACAACAACAGUUCCGUCAACACAGUUUCAAGACAAAUAUACCUGCCUGAUGAAUUAUCAUCCCAGUCAUUGUUAGUAGAUUCAUAGUUCAUCUGUAACUUAUGCUGCUGGGUAUGGAGCAUCAUAGCAACAUCAUUACAUUACAGGUCAUUUAGCUGACACUUUUAUCCAAAGCAACUUACAUUGCAUUUUUAACCCAUGGUUUUUACAUUUUGCCCUGGGAGCAAUUAGGGGUUAGGCAUCUUGCUCAGGGACACUUCGACAUGGGUGAGCCAGGGUUUGAACUGCCAACCUUGGGCUUCCCAGCGCACCCUCUAGACUCCACGCGCCACCCAUGAACCUGCAGUUUGAAUCACGGCCAGCAACGUGUCAAUCGUGACGUUUCUGUCUCUGCUGCAAAAAAGCCAUUUUCAAAUGUUACACCAAGUCUCUUUCCCUCUCACGAUGCACGUUUUUAUCAUUCGGAUAACAACAGAUGGUACCACUUUAGUUUAAAGACACAGCACCCUUGAGAUAGUUUUGUAAUGUUAAUGCAUUUUGCCAUGUUCCCCAAUAUCAAUGGACCUCUCUGCCACCAGUGCACGGUCUAUCAUAAGGGACAGGCCCUUUACCUUUGGUGAGCAAGGGUUUUUCACCCCUGCACAUAAACAUUUGAGAUUUGCACUUCAGCUUGCCACCUAAUCAAUUGUUACUAUCUGUAAGUAUCUGGAAUAUGUACUUUGCAUUGCAGUUUUGAUAAUCAAAAGUUCUUUUCAUGGGCUUAGUUGGGGGUUUGCUGUCUUGUCUUGAUUUAAGAGUUAGGUAAGGGGGGAAGCAGGAUGUGCCAAGCAGGCAGACACGAGUCUGACAAGAUGGGGAGUCAGUUUCUGUCCUGGCUGAGGAAUGCAAGGUCUGCGGGUAAACUAGCAGAUUUGCCAGCCAAAGGGGGGUUUAGAGACACACCAACACUAUUCAACAUACACACUCUGUUCGCUGAUGUUUACGUUAAGUCAGGAGUCCGGACAGUGGAUGUGACCGGAUCUUUAGAUGCGGGGGGUGGAAGGUCCUCCUCUACGCCAGUUUAGGGCCAAUAGAAAUCUUUCCUUCUCUGUCUUUCAAGGGUUAUAAAACAUGAUGUUCUUGCUGAUGUUAGUUAGUUGUUCUUCCGGCCUCUGUGCUGCCUGAACUGCUCCUGCCUUUGCAAACGCAGCGCUGAUACUUGACCUGUGAUCUGACAAAUAAAUCUCCCAGAACGAGAGAAGUCGUUCGGCUGAAUUUUUGAUAACCCCAACCAGGCUCCAAUUCUUGAACAGGUAUUCUUACAGUUUGCAAUGCAAAGUACCUUUUGUGUAUGUUUAUGUCUGUUGUAUACACACAACACAUACACGUUCAGGGGUUAUAAAUAAAUUGUUAAAUAGUAGCUGUUUUUUUCUUUUGACUGUUAUAUAAGUGUGCGUAUAAAAGUGAACACAGUUUGGUAAACGAGAAGCAGAAAACUAAUAUAUGACAUAUCAGUUCAGUCUCAAAUCAAUGUGUAGCCAUUACAGAGAGACAAUUUCCCUCGUAGUAGAAGUUAGUAGUAAAAUAUAGUUCCACUUCACAAAGGAUCAUGGAAGAAUUGAGGGCAGGCAGAGUCACAUGAACACAUAUACAACGUCUAGACACAGUUUCAUUGUUAUUGAACUAUUCUGGAAAUAUUGACAAGAUAGAUUUUAUCUUUUGAUGGGAUCAAACUGCAGCUGCAAGCCCAUCUUGGGCUGAGAGACGUUUGGAGGCCUUUGCUUUCUUAUGCUACUUCUGCCACCUUUGCCUAAGUCACACCAAUCUUGGAAUUUGGGCAUUCGUUUGAUCUCAAAUACACUCCUGUUAAGUUUCAUGACACCCCAUCUUACCGGGGGCAUAAAGACGGAAAGGUCAAUGGCCUCCUCGUCACCUUAGCUUAGACCUUUAACCACACACAUUUACAAAUGUGUUCUUAAAUUCCAUCUCAACUACACAUUUGUACUGUGUUGUGACUGCACUUUUUGUGGUUGAGCCGCUGUAGCGGUUGGAUUUGACAUAUAAACAGAAAGAAAUGUGACGAAAGACAGUUCCUGGUUGGAGUUUGUGCUACAGUAGGUACAGUAUCUCCGGGACAUGGUACAUAACACAGACUGAUAAUACUAUUUGCCACUUUCACAGCUGGUAAUUACAAAAAUGUACAGUUGAGCUCAUUACUAACAGUGAAUUACAGAAGUGUGACAUUGUGCACUCAUUAGGUUUAAGCCUAUGUGCAUUGAUAAUCAGUGCUGCAGCAGUUAUGACAAAGGAAAUGAAGUAAAUUGGUGCUUUUUACUAUUUCUCACCAUGAAUAAUAUAUUUGUUUGAAUAUGAUUCUCUCCCUUCAGUAUUCAUGUUUAGCUGCAUUGCUAUAGUUAAUUGCAUAAUUAUUUUCCUGUCGUAUUGUUUUGUCAACCGGACAAAGAACUACAUUUCUAAUAUUAAUGCAAUUACAUUGACAAUAGGGAUGUAAUUAAAUUGGAGCCUGAAUAAUGUUGUUUGUAAUGGAAGUGAGCAUCACAUCACAUCACAGAGUCUUAGUCAUCCGGCUGCCCUGAUUGGCUCGCUAAUUAUCUGUCUGGCCAAUUGAUUAAUUAGUUGCCUGUAAUUAUUUUACUGAAGGCUGCAAAGUUCAAUCAUUUACUGAACAUCACAACUACGCUUCUGGUUAACUCAUUCUUUGCAUCAAAAAAAACAACAAUCUUUGAUUAAAUAACUGAAAGGGUAUGAUUGAUAAAGUGACUUUCUGGCUUACACACAAAGUAACUGACUGACCAAGCAUCUGACUAAAAAAAGCAUUUAUUACACACAGUUUGAUAUUUUGCUUGUUUUGCUUCACUCCUGCGUCCUUUCCUUGCAGUGAUCCAUCCUCAUUCACUUUAUCUCACACAAUUACCGCUCUGUUGCUAGGAGACAUCCGGGAGACAUUUCAUACGGGGUUGCUGUGGUCCUCAAGGUCUACAGCCGGCACACGGGUCUCUCCUGCAUGCGUGUCUUUGUGUGAUUAUUACACUGGCAGUCACGACUGCCGCUGCACACAGACAAAGGCAGGAUGAGCCGAUUGAAAGUCUGAGCGUUCAUCUUUAUGUAUCUUUUAUUGUAUCUCUCUUCCUCCAACAGCCUGUUCCCUCCUUGCUACUGUACUUUUCCCCUCUCUGUUGCCAUCCUCUCCCUAGAAUAUUUAAUCUCCCGAUGUCUUUGCUCUUUUCCAUCCCUACACAAUAUAGAAUGUUGGUAUAUUUGUCUUUGUGUCCAAAGCACAACAGCCUCCAACUCCUCAUACUUAUUUUCAUCAUUGGAAACACAUUUUUGAUCACUUAUUACCAAAACGAUUUCCAUGCGUUUCUCACACACUUUUCAGUUCAAAUGUUGUAAUUAAACAUUUAAUUUAAGUACAAUUAAAAUCAAGUCAACCUCUUAACUGUCUGCUUGUGAUAUUUGCGCUAUGAACCUCUAGCCUGAUCUCCAAAACCUGUUCGUAAAAAUGUAUACGAAAAUCUUGAACAUAAAAAAUUCGGAGUGAUACAUACUAAAUAAAUACGGACUACAACUGAUGACGUCAACCUAUUCAUAGUCAAUGGGGACCUGCACCCCUUAAACACACUUCGUGAAGUCUAACGAAGUAAAAUAAACGUGUUAUGAUUGCAUUUUUAACGAGAAAUCAAUGUUAACUUGUAAGAAUAGAAUACUAACCCUAACCCCCUCAAAAAAUCCAACAUGGCGGAGAGAUGUUCACUCAAGAAUCCAGCAUGGUCCGCCAUGUUGUUCACUCAAGGGGCGUGGUUAACCACCGCCAGUUCGUAUGUAUUGUUACAAAUUUGUAUGUUCAAGAUUUUCGUAUACAUUUUUACGAACAGGUUUUGGAGAUCACGUUGGAAUCCCAGCAUGCAUUUCAAGCUUCUUCUCCUCCGUAUUUAAAAUAAAAACUCACAUCAUAUCAUUCGACUCUAAUUUUCCCUGGUUUUUGAAAUAUGUAUAAAGUAAACAUAAUAUUAAUGCCAAUAAUAUUCAAUGUUCAGUUUAGCGCUGAAUUCAAUGAGUGCUGAAUACUCUCCUGACCGUGUUACAAAACGCUUUCUUUGCAUUGCCCGAAUUUCUACCUUUACAAUCCCAAACUUUUUGCCCCUCUGUUCUCUCCUCCUCGGACUACUUGUCAUAUGAGAUAAUUGCAAACCGUAAUGUAUUUAGUUAGUAAAUACAUGCUUAUUAUUUGGGCUUGUAAAAGAGAGGUUUUGAGUUGUGUCAUAAAAAUGGUAAAAAAAUGGCAUGGAUAAGGUUUGCCAAAAGCAACAUUAUGGUACAAGGUUUUUACAAAAUCCGUUAUAAUGUUCCAUUCUACAAUUUUGCAAUUUCAUAAUUACAACUACGUAGGUUAAAAUUUGUUGGAUUGUUGUGAGUGUCAAUAUGUUUGGACCAUGAUGUGUCAUGAAAUACAUUUUAAACAUUAUAUUCUUUUCCUAUCAACAGAAUAUAUGACAAAACACACUUAUGGAUGAUCUUUUUCACCCUCUCUCUCCCAUAUUGUUUGCACAGGAAUUAUAAUAUAACAAUGUGUCCUGAGGCAUCGGGCGAAAAUUUUUCUAUUUAGAACCGAGAUCAAAACAGUUGAAGAAACUUUAAUUCUUUAUGUUGGCGGCGGCGUUGAUUACAACAUUGUAAACUUUGACAUUUACUGCCUUAGGGUUGGGAGGGGGCGUUAGGGGAGAUGGAGAGAUUUAAAAUCAAGAUAAUAGGCUCGGCAGUUGUGUGCAUUACUCUGCUGCCCCGACCCAAUGUACCCACAGCAAGAUCAUUUCCAUCCCCUGCCAAUACAGCCCAGCGGAUUGAGGCGGUAGAGGUCUAAAUCAGUACGAGCGCUCAACCUUCAGCAUUAGCCGCCCCGCCAGGAUUUCCUGAAAACAACGUGGAACUCGGAGGGGCAUCUUUUUUUUUCCGUGGCUGACUAUUGAUGCAGUAGUUAUGUGUGUUGGAUGGAUAUGCUGUAACAGAACAAAGCAAAGAGAGAGGGAAACAAAGACAAAACUGCCAUCAGCCCGAUAGAGAUUUCGAUGCAAUCAUUUCCCAACACCAGAACAACAGACUAUCCCCAAGUACACAUAACGCCAGUGACAAAAAGCUGGAUUCGCAAUCUUUUCUAUAUGUCUGAAUGUAAUUGGAAAUUUUAGAUAUCAACGAAACAAAAGGGUGUUUGGGUUCUUUUAAAAAGCAGGCCGAUCAAUAAUCUCACUGAUAUUAUCCGGCUUUCAGACAUGUUUUCCUUUUGCAAUAUAUUUGUCCGUCUGAUUCUGUUUCCCCUUCAGUAUAUCUUAAUCGAUUCCUGCACUUCCUUAUGUUGUUUGUCUGUCUCUCUUCUAUUGUCUCUCCUGUCUCUUUCUUUCUUUUUUCUGUCGGUUCCUCCUGUGGAGACAUAUCCUCUCCGCUUGAUUGCUCUCUUCCGAUUUAUUCUCCUUGGGUGGUGUUUGUCAGGGGUGGGAGGGCUGCAUGGGUGUUUGUUAGUGGGCGUCAAAACAAGUAGAACGCUGCCUUUCAACGCUUUUGACAGCUCUCAAUUCUGCUGAUUGUGUUUGUGCCUGAACAUUUUCACCUGCUGUUUCUACCGUCUACCAGGCUGUUAUGCCCGGCCACCCUGACAGGGCUCUCUAAUAAAGAUUAUACAAUCCAAAUAACCUCGUACAUUUAAGAAAUUAGACAGAUUGGGUUGAUCCUGGACUUUAAAAAGCUAUACGUCCACUUACGUCCAUGUCCAUGGUAUUCAGAAAUCGAAGAGACAAAUCUUUAUUCUAAAAUGAUACAAUUUAACAUAGUGUGCGUCAACAAAUUGAAAUGCUUUAUUCUAUUUGGUCAAUUAAGUAUUGCACGAAGCAGUGUGUGUUUUAUCACAAGCAGAGGAGACAUUCACAUUGACAGUAACCUUUUACAGAGAACUAGAGCCCCAGAUUUUGAACCACAACCAUUUCAUGAUAAAGUCUCUUAUCAUAAUUCCAAACGUGAAUAAUGCUUUUGUUCUGCAGCUUAUCUUGUUUACAUGUUUUACAUAACUAAAAGUGUACAGAACGGAUUAAGUGAUAUAUUUAGCUCCUCAAAUGCAUCUGUAGCUAACUUAGCAUCCUUAGAAUGGCUUAACAUGGCAGUAGAUGAAACCAUUUCAUUGUCAUCAAACCAGUUAUUUAGCUGGAUAGUUAAUGGUUCAAAUGUUGACAUGAAAAUAAACAAAAGCCCCCCCCAAAAAAUAAAUGCCAAAAAUGAUUUUGCUGUUUAUCCGGAUCCUGUUUAAUGUGAGUCUUGUUGGGUCUCCGUAUGUAGUAUUUCACUUUUUCCCCUUCUGUCCUUUCCUAAUCCUCUCUUUGAUGUUAUUCUCCACCAUGCUCUGUCUGAUAACUCAACAUCUAAAGGUAAUCUUGAAAAGGAAAGAAUGACGCAUGUACAGCUAUGAGCGAGUAUAUGGAAUAGGUGGUGGGCAAGACGAAGAGAGAGAUGGAGGGCGUUGUGGUUUCAUUAUAAAGUAAUCACCAAGAAGAAAGGUCAGGCAGCUGUUACAACAUCUAUAAAACACCGAAGAGACGGAGAAUGACAGGAAGGGAGAGGGAGAUAAAGAGAGAGAAGGGAGACCCAUCAGCUGACGGGAAAGACAGAAAGGUAUAGGUGAGUUGCACUUAAUGAUAUAGCCAUGAAAUACUGCCAGAAGAAAACUGUCAGUAAGGAGGCAUUCUGAGGUAAAGUGGAAGAAAAGGGAUGGAGAUGGAAUGGCCUUGAUGCAGAGGCAUUAUACCACGGCUCCUUUUAGGCUUUCAGGUAAAGCACAUAUAUUUUUUUACAUUUAAUGAUAAUAAAAUACCAGAUGAACGAAAAAAGAAUCCCUACAUAUAGCAGGAGACUGACUGACCUGUCAGCAGAAUAAACAUAAAUGGCAUGCAUGUACAAAGUAACAAUGAAAGUCAACACAACACAGAUAAAAGUGCUGCUCCACAGCAUUGGCCUCAGUGGGGCCACUUUUUGGCUGGAUGACACUGUAUUGCAAGACACUCCUACAUCAGCAUGCACUAGUCUGCAGCCUCUAAUGUGAGAAAUGUGCUCUGCAUCUCAAAAGCGCCAUGUAAUUAUGCAUGCUCGUGUGGUUGCAGUCAUUUCAUCUUGCAGCACGCUACCAGGCUCGAUCAGAAAGUACACAACCCUCUGUCUCUUCUGCAAACCAAUCUAGAAAGGUACAGUGCAGAUCUCUGCCAGGUGUCUCUUUUAAUGACCACCGCUGUAUAGCGGGAUUUCAUGAAAACAAGCCACUAUUGGAUAAUGCCCUGCUGGUGUUUCCAAUGUGUUUUUUAACAUGCAUGUUACACACAACAGAUGCACUUCAUACAACAGCUCCAAAAAGGUGCUUGUCCGCUUAGCAGCACCUGAAUGGCGGCAGUGUGUUCCCUCGUGGUUCCGUUAGCUGCUAGUUGUUGGCCAUACACACCGGCCAAAACAGUAACAGCGUGCAAACUUUUCCACCCCAAUGUGUCUCUGGUCACAGACUAAAAUAUUGUGAAACAGAAUGUCACAUUAGCUGUGGACAAACACAGGGGCACACUCACUCACUCACUGAGUCACGGAUGCACAGACUAACACAGUCACAGUUACUCACUGUCAGGGACGCACACACGCGACCCAUCACAUGGACCUUCUGGCAGAGGUAUUGGUUAGAGAACAGAAGGGGUCCUUAGUGGGUUUCCACAGCUCCAUAAAUUCCCUUGGGUACUGAAACAUACACACAUGGCUUCCGCAUCCAUGCACACCAUGCAAACAGAUCCCAUGUCUACCAACGAGAUCUCCAAAACCUGUUCAUGAAAAUGUAUACGAAAAUCUUGAACAUACAAAUUCGUAACAAUACAUACAAACUGGCGGUGGUUAACCACGCCCCUUGAGUGAACAACAUGGCGGACCAUGUUGGAUUCUUGAGUGAACGUCUCUCCGCCAUGUUGGAUUUUUCGAGGGGGUUAGGGUUAGUAUUGUAUUCUUACAAUUUAACAUUGAUUUCUCGUUAAAAAUGCAAUCAUAACACGUUUAUUUUACGUCGUUAGACUUCACGAAGUGUGUUUACAGGGUGCAGGUCCCCAUUCACUUUGAAUAGGGUGACGUCAUCAGUUGCAGUCCGUAUUUAUUUAGUAUGUAUCACUAUGAAUUUGUAUGUUCAAACUUUUCGUAUACAUUUUGCGGAACAGGUUUUGGAGAUCAGGCUGUGUCUACAUAGUGUUUAUUCCUUUAGUUUUAAAUUCUGAACUCUGUUUAUAUUGUAUGGAAAUAAUCUACAGUAUCCAAACAUACAGAAUAUUAUUAUAAUCCGAACAAUAUUGUGAGUGCAGAGAGUUUGGCAUUAGGAUUCAUUCACACUCAAUCGUUGAUAAUUCACCUCAGGCUGUAGGGUUUGUCACAAGGGAGAAAAAAAACAAAACGUAUUAGUUAAAGUCCUUGUAUAGU
ensembl:lncRNA